rnacentral:misc_RNA from 1 species
AAGUCGUAACAAGGUCUCCGUAGGUGAACCUGCGGAGGGAUCAUUACCGAGUGAGGGCCCUCGCGGGUCCGACCUCCCAACCCUUUGUUGACCGUACUUUGUUGCCUCGGGGCCGCCCGUGAGGGCGCCCCAGAGGACCCGAAUCAAAACCCUGCGUCUGUGCGUCGGAGUAAACUUGAUAAAUCAAUCAAAACUUUCAACAACGGAUCUCUUGGUUCUG